rnacentral:rRNA from 1 species
CAUUGGGUAGGGGAGCGUUCUGUAAGCCGUUGAAGGUGUGUUGUAAAGCAUGCUGGAGGUAUCAGAAGUGCGAAUGCUGACAUGAGUAACGAUAAAGGGGGUGAAAAACCUCCUCGCCGGAAGACCAAGGGUUCCUGUCCAACGUUAAUCGGGGCAGGGUAAGUCGACCCCUAAGGCGAGGCCGAAAGGCGUAGUCGAUGGGAAACGGGUUAAUAUUCCCGUACUUCUUACAAUUGCGAUGGGGGGACGGAGAAGGCUAGGUGGGCCUGGCGACGGUUGUCCAGGUUCAAGUGUGUAGGCUUGAGAGUUAGGUAAAUCCGGCUCUCUUUAAGGCUGAGACACGACGUCGAGCAUCUACGGAUGUGAAGUCAUUGAUG